rnacentral:rRNA from 1 species
UUUUUUAAUUGGAAACUUGAAUGAAAGGUAUUUACUAAAGGGGAGGUUUUAUUUAAUUAAUUUGAAUUUAAAUUAAAAUUAAAAAUGGUUUUAUAAAUUUUUGGGACAAGAAGACCCUAGAAGCUUGAAUUAAAAAGAAUUUUAGUUGGGGUAACAUUUGAAGAAAAAGAUUUUUGAAAAUGUAUUAAGGAUAAUUAAUAAGUUACUCUAGGGAUAACAGCGUCAUCUAAUUAACGAGUUCUUAUCAAUAAUUAGGUUUGCGACCUCGAUGUUGAAUUAAAUUUUAUUUUUGGUGAAGAAAUCAAAAAAGGUAGUCUGUUCGACUAUUAAAAAUUUACGU